CUCGGGGAUAGCCUUUCGAAAGAAAGAUUAAUACCCGAUGGCAUAGUUCUUCCGCAUGGUAGAACUAUUAAAGAUUUCGGUCAUCGAUGGGGAUGCGUUCCAUUAGGUUGUUGGCGGGGUAACGGCCCACCAAGCCUUCGAUGGAUAGGGGUUCUGAGAGGAAGGUCCCCCACAUUGGAACUGAGACACGGUCCAAACUCCUACGGGAGGCAGCAUG
rnacentral:rRNA from 1 species